rnacentral:rRNA from 1 species
AAAGUUUAAUGGAGAGUUUGAUCCUGGCUCAGGACGAACGCUGGCGGCGUGCUUAACACAUGCAAGUCGAACGGAACCUUCGGGUUUAGUGGCGAACGGGUGAGUAAAGCGCAGGUAAUCUGCCGCAAAGUCGGGGACAACGUUGCGAAAGUGACGCUAAUACCGGAUGUUGUGAGUGAUUCGCAUGAAUUGUUCACUAAAGAUUUAUCGCUUUGCGAGGAGCCUGCGUCCGAUUAGGCAGUUGGUGCGGUAAAGGCGCACCAAACCGACGAUCGGUAGCCGGUCUGAGAGGAUGAACGGCCACAAUGGAACUGAGACACGGUCCAUACUCCUACGGGAGGCAGC